CAGAAGCAUGGUGCCCGGAGUGCUCGGUGAGGAAACCCCAGCCCCGGGGUGGGGGGAGCCUCAGAGCCCCUGCCCCUGCUGGGCUGGAAACCUGACCCUCUUUUCACUUGUAGAGAGGUGGCUGCAAUGGCAGGGCCCUGAGCUCCACCGGGUCUCCCCCGAGGGUGCAGGGCCCACGCUCUCAGACCGUCUUCUGCUGCUUUCCCACUGCAUAGCAGGAGCUGCAUCAGACGUGGAGCAGCCGGGGCUUGAACCAGGACCCGUGGGUGAUGCCGCUGUCUCAGCUGCCGUCUUCCUCUCUGCCCUCCUGGGCUCGCUCUCGGAAGGAGUCCCAGGGCCUGACGGUCUGUGGCUGUGCCAGCCGGCGCCCAGGUGCGGGGACCAGGCCUACAACCCCCUGGAGCAGUGCUGUGACGACGACACCAUCCUGCCCCUGAACCGGACCCGCCUCUGUGGCCCCCACUGCCGCUACUGGCCCUGCUUUGAGCUCUGCUGUCCUGAGUCAGUCGGUCACCCGAGACUUGUUGUGCGGCUGAGAGUCCUGGGUGUCAGCUCCCAGUGCCACUCAUCCCCCAUCUCCAGGGUCUGUGACAGGUACAGCUUUAGGAAUGUACGCCAGCCAUGAAGACCCAUGGUGUGCCCCUGCUCAGCAGCCAACUUCCACAGAGCCUGGUAUCAUGGUAGCUUCUGUGCACACCGAGUGCCCCUCUGGGCCUGGGCCAGUGGUCCUUCAACUGCUCUGGGCUGAGAAUCGUGGUGAGGAGUUAGACGGGCUGACCGGCAGUUAGGUCAAUCGGAAAACAGUUCAGUCCACUAACUGCACUGAGUUUUAUGAAGGCUACACUGGAUUGUAAUCCCUGUCUUCUGAUUAGCGUUAGACCCUCGGAGUGAGGAUGGUAACACGUUGAGAGGCACACCCCAGAGACUCAGACUCCAGACCAGCUGAUGCAAAAGCAAGAGGACUUAUUCGGCGUCUGCGCAGACGGGCCUCCUGAACUCAGCAGUACACCCCCAGUACAAGCCACACGGUUUAUAUACCCGCAGCGACCAAUCAAAAGCACUAUAGAGUCCAUGCACACAGCAGUCCAAUCCGUGAGCUGAUCAUGUGAAGGGCGUGCGUCUUCUAUCCAAUCAGCUACGAGAUCACACGGGAGGCAUGCACCUCAUCGCCACUUUGUUGUUUACUUCUUUAGUAGUUCCUUUCCCUGCCAGCACCAUCUUGUUCACCCUGAGGGGGGCGACAUCUCGCUCCCUUUGUUCCCCUUGUGGGAGAGCGGCGUCCCGCUUCCCACACCGUUAUUUGAGUAUUAGGAGGUAUACAAACUGGGUUAGGUCUUAGCACAGCCAGGCACAAGUGUCACAGCUAGCUAAGCAUAGGGUCCCUUAUUUUAUAGCUGCACCUAAUUUUAGCUUUGGGGGAAAAAGUUUAGGGCUGUAAUUUUAAACUUUAAUUUUUAUUUGGGGCAAAGGUGACUUCUUGUUUUUAAUGGUAUUGGCUUAAGUCACUCCAUCUUGGUUUGAUUUUUAAGGUUCUUCAAUUAGCUGUUAUUCUGCUCCUCCUCUGAUUGGUUAAAUCUGGGUCUGGUUUUCAGAAGGAGACCAGAGUGGGCCACUUUGUGUAUAAAAGAGCCAGCGCCCUGGGAGCCUCCCUCCUGGCUGCUGUGACAGGAGGCUCCUCACUUGCAAUAGACCGACUUUGCUCGCUCUCCUUGUCUGCUUGGGAAUUCCUCUCCAGCCGUGAGAUGGGAACUGAGAGGGGACUUGUCUUCACUCUCCCGCAACAGCUUGGUGCCAUGGCCAGGAUUCAACUCAGAUCUGACUCUGAGCAGCAUCAGAUCGCCUGGGCAGACGGCUGAGCAAGCAGACUGCUCCCGCCUCUGUUUUUCAGAGAGCCUCUCUCACCCAUUGCUUCUCUCUCUCCCUCUCCCCUCCGCCUUCAACCCUUCUCCCUGUUGCUGUGGAUUCAUUCUGAGAGGAGGAGUGUGGUGGGGCAAGAAGCACGGAGCCACCACACAGACCCCAGGAGUUGGCUGAAAGUGGGCCAGAGGCGAGCAGCCCGCAGACUCCUUUAUUUCAGUUGGUGCAGUAGGUUAUAUAGCCAAGGCAGCCAAUCUGGUCAAGGGGCGAUCUAUACCCUAACCAAUCACAGCCUGUUGCCAGGCAGGCUCUGUUGCCAGAUGGUUUCUCAGUGGAUUUCCGAAGCCACUCCUGAGUAACUGAUGCUUGCUUGCUAGUGGCUAUCUUGGCAUGGCCUUCUCAUUCCACCCCUUCUCCCCAUCUCUCCUUCUUUCCCCUCUCCCUCUCUCUCCCCUCUCUGUCUCUCUCUCACCAGGUCCCUGUCAGUUAAGAGUGGUCACCAUAGCUGCCAGCCUUAAGACUCAGGGCACGGGCUUGCUGACCUGGGCUGGACCAGUCCCCCAGAGCUGAGACUCUGUUCUAUCUCUUUCCUUGCAGGACCAGCCCUUUGCGAGGGACUGGGAGAAGGCCUUGAGAUGACUGACGGAUCCUGGCCAUGGAGCAUCCUAGUGCUUCCUGAUGUCUCUUGGCUGGACACUAGACUCGCACAGUCUGGAAGGGUGCUGGGCACGGAGCAGCAUUUCAAGACUGGGCACGGGGUGGAGCAAGGCCACGGGCUCUGAGCCUCAGUGCCCCAGUGAGCCCUUACUUUACCCCAGGCCCUGGGAGAUCUCCCUCUCUUUUUCUGCUGGUCUCACCACACCCUGGUCCCUGGAUGCUCCUUUGUGCUGCAGGUCUCCUCCCUCCUCUGCAGGCCCCUCCCUCUUCUGGGUCCACCUCCCUCAGCGUUCUAGUGCAGUCUAUACCUCAGAGGUAGCUCACUGGGGAGGAUUUGUAUCCCUCCCCCCACUGUGCCCCUUUAUUCCUUCAGUGCUCAGUCACCAGCCCGAGUGGCGGCCAGGACUGGUGCCCUCCCUCCAAACUCUUACUUGAAACACCCGAUUUAUGGUUCUUAUCAUGGGGGCACAUUUUCGAAUUCAGGCCCACAGGACAUGGUCAAGGUGAGGCGGUGCACACAGGACAUGGUCAAGGUGAGGCGGUGCAAGGCAACUGUUUCUUUCCUUGCACGGGCGCAAAGCAGCAACAGUAUCAUUCGCUCCAGGCAGCAGUCCCGGUUCUAGCAGGCUCUCCCUGCAGCUGUUCUGGUGACUACAGAUGCAGGUUACAGGCGUGGAAGGCGGAGCAAAGGCGGGUGAUCCGCGCUCGGCCCACUGGAACCCUCCUCCCUACCCCGUGGGCUUCUGGGCACCGUAGGCAGCAGGUGUCCUGAUUACAAACUCGAGGGUGGAGACAUUUUCCCAUUUCUUAAAAAAUAUUUAUUUGUUAAUUUGAAAGGCAGAGUUACAGAGAGGCAGAGGCAGAGAGAGAGAGGAAGGGAGGGAGGGAGGGAGGGAGGGAGGGAGGGAGGGAGAGGGAAGGAGAGGUCUUGUGUCCGCUCCUUCACUCCCCAGGUGGCCGCAAGGGCCGGAGCUGCACCAAUCAGAGGCCAGCAGCAAGGAGCUUCUUCCAGGUCUCCCACGCAGGUGCAGGGUCCAAGGACUUGGGCGUCUUCUCCUACACGCAGCAAGCGGGCCCCCAUUUCUCUGCCCUGCCAACACAGCCGAACCCUGCCCGGCCUGCUGGACACUCCCCUGUCUGAAGAGCCCAGCCAGCAGCCUGUCUCUGCCCCGAGCUCAGCAGCUGGGCUCUGCAGUCCAGCGUCAGCCUCAGCCCGAACCCCUCCCAGCUCCCACUGUGAUCUCGCGGGACCUUCAGAACAAGCCCAGGCUCUCCCUCUAUCUCAGCAGCCCAGCUUCAGCUCAGACCCCCAAGCCCCUUCCCAGUGCUUUGCACUGUUUAAAUCGCUGGUCUGUAGGGAAGGGGCUCUCUCUCUGCUGUGCGUUCACUGGCAACUCCGCCGCCGUGCGUGCGUUCACCCAGGCUUCAGUCUUCUGCAUAAACCUGCUCUGGCUGUGGCUUCACACCCAGUCUCUCUGUCCUGACAGCUGUCCCCAGGCUAUGGCUGGCUGGGGCAGGCCUGGCCCAGGGCUGGGCCUGGGCACACAUCCAGGUGCCGUGGAAGGAUCUGGAUUCCCCACCAGUCUCCUUCCCCUCUCCUCCUCAUCUGAGACAAAGUGGAUCCUGGUGGGGCCCGUCCUUGGCGACUUCCUCCCCGAAAGGAGCUGCUGUGGGCACUGGCACAUGGAGGAGGGUUGGGGGAGGAGGAGGGCCUGAGCAGGGCUGGCUGCAACCCUGAACUGGGAGGGGAGGUUGUCUCUCGUAUUUAAUUACUGUAGCAACUCUUGGCUCACCCAGGACUGGGCGUUGGUGUCUUGCCGGGGCUACUUAAGGCCAGAACUGAGGUGUGGAGACUGUGACUCCUGUACGGAGCCCUGAGUCUCCCUGACCGUGACCCAGAGCAGCUGGGGGGGGGGCGGACACAGCACCCUGGGCCCCCUGGGGCUGGCAGCUCAGCACAGACCCUGUUUGCACAGUGACCAUCUGAACCUGUGUCUUGGCUCCCUGGGAUUGCACUGCACCCAGCGGGGCU